GACGGAGGAUGCAAGCGUUAUCCGGAAUUAUUGGGCGUAAAGCGUCCGCAGGUGGCUGUUCAAGUCUGCUGUCAAAGCGCAGAGCUUAACUCUGUACAGGCGGUGGAAACUGAACAGCUAGAGUAUGGUAGGGGCAGAGGGAAUUCCUGGUGUAGCGGUGAAAUGCGUAGAGAUCAGGAAGAACAUCGGUGGCGAAGGCGCUCUGCUGGACCAUAACUGACACUCAGGGACGAAAGCUAGGGGAGCGAAUGGG
rnacentral:rRNA from 1 species